rnacentral:lncRNA from 1 species
AUGGAGGACAACAUUGGCAGGAGGUUGCAACUGUGUGACAGUAUCGCUAAUAUUUUUUUUCAUUAACACCUACGGUUAAUGUGUGGAGCUGUGGUAUAUUACAUAUUUUGUUUUACGGGGUGGCCUGUACAAGUUUGCCUUGAAGGAGAGAACAAGAAAAAUUGAUCAAAAUAUUUUCGUCAUAAGGUUUGAGAUGCAAGUAGGGAACGAUUAUUAUUCUACACCGGUAAAUUCAUAUAUUUAAAACUUAAUGACGAUUUUUAGGUCAAACCGUAACCAAACCAUUAGUAGCGGUUUUUGCACAUCGAAAAUCGAAGUUAAGCUAUUAUUCAAAAUAAUGAAGAUAUAAGCAAAAGAACACCAGGUUUAGUUACAAGUUUAACAUGAUGCAUGUUAAAAAAGAUCACCCAGAUACAUGUUAAACAAAAGAAAGAACAAAAAGAACACAAAUUAAGAAAAUGCAUGUAUAACCAGGUGGGAGUUUGAAACUUAUAGAUUAACCAAUUUAUUUUUGGCUCCUAAUUGCAAGAUUUCCAAUUAUCAUAGUGGGCUCAGGCAAAAAUAAAGAAGCCCAGUUUAUCUAAAUCGUAUAUGUAAAAUUAAAAAUAAUUAUACAUAUCGAAUAUAUAAAAAACCAAUUUAUGUUAAAAUUUGCAAACCAAACCGUUCAUUAUGGUAUAUCUCUGAAGCCAACCGACCGUAACCAAAAGAAAUCAAGAAAAACUGGCCAUGACGCCAAAACCGAUGAACGGUUUGGGCGGUUUCACGGUUUUAAACCAAGGCGUGAACACUCCUAAUAUGAUUUGUUCACUCUUUAGUUUGGAAUUCUUCAUUAAUAUUCCUGCUCUAUUUACUUAGAUACGGAGUUUCACUAUGAAAUAUGCAUGUUGUCAAGUAGGGAUGAGAACCGGUACCGGUACUAAAUUCCCCAUAGCGAAUUAUUUGGAUACCCACUUAUUGGCGUUUUCAAUACCGGUAUUCUUGGUUCGGUAUAGUACUGAUAUUUUAUCGAAUUUUACCUCCUUCAAAUACUGGUAUGACACUGUACUGGUACCCAUAUUUGGCGAUUUUCUUUAACGGUACUAAUACUGAGCUCAUCCCUACUGUCAACAUGAAAUAAUCGCUUAAACAUAUCAAAAAGUUUGUUGAAAUUGAACGAAUGAAGAAAAGUAGGAAGUUGCUUCAAGUGUAUGAUUAAUCCAAUUUUAUUAUAUAGAUUUUUUUGUUUUAGUACAUAAAAGGUUAGAUGGUAUUCCAAUACCAAUUAAAAACUAUAAUAUCUUCUCAAGAACAAAAAUUUCCAUUCGUGUGUUAUGAGCAUUUAUUUUUCUUUAAAAAAAUGUAACAGUUAGUGAGCUUGCAAUUUCAUAUUGAUAGGAUCAUGUACACAAAUGAGCCGAAAGGAUGAAUUUUAUGAUGUUGUCUUUGUCUAGCAAAUGUUUUUUAACAUUAGAUGUUAUGUCUAAUCCACAUCUACACCCAAUGUGUUUUUAUAUAUUACUUUUUGUAGUGUAACUGUAGUUAAAUAUCACUACAAAGAGUGCCUGAACAAUAGCUUUUAGGCCACUUAAGGUCUUUUGGUGUGACUGGGAAUUUGACACUCCAACCAAGGUGAUAUUGACCCUUACUAACGGGCUAACUCAAAGUGGAGAUAUACAAUGGUAAAUGACAACUUUUGGACUCCAUUUAAAGAAUGAGUUUUUAGAAUUCUACAUGCCAAUUUGUUUACAAACCCUUUUAGAUAAACAAAUUAUGUGAGAUGUUUCCGGGUUUAUGGGCAUUUGUAUUUAUAGAUUUGUAAAUUGUAAAU